AACAUAUUAUUUAAAGGUUCAGUGUGUAAGAUUUAGGAGGAUCUAACACCUGAAGCAGAGUACGACAUUAACUAUUAUGUGGAUGAUGAUCUAAGAAUCAUGUCUCAUAUCCACAGAGGGGAUGGAGUCUGCCAUGUCUAUACUUGGAUUAUUAU